UGGGGAAUUUUGGACAAUGGGCGAAAGCCUGAUCCAGCAAUGCCGCGUGUGUGAAGAAGGCCUUCGGGUUGUAAAGCACUUUUGUCCGGAAAGAAAUGGCUCUGGUUAAUACCUGGGGUCGAUGACGGUACCGGAAGAAUAAGGACCGGCUAACUACGUGCCAGCAGCCGCGGUAAUACGUAGGGUCCAAGCGUUAAUCGGAAUUACUGGGCGUAAAGCGUGCGCAGGCGGUUGUGCAAGACCGAUGUGAAAUCCCGAGCUUAACUUGGGAAUUGCAUUGGUGACUGCACGGCUAGAGUGUGUCAGAGGGGGUAGAAUUCCACGUGUAGCAGUGAAAUGCGUAGAGAUGUGGAGGAAUACCGAUGGCGAAGGCAGCCCCCUGGGAUAACACUGACGCUCAUGGCACGAAAGCGUGGGGAGCAAACAGGAUUAGAUACCCUGGUAGUCCACGCCC
rnacentral:rRNA from 1 species